AUUGAACGCUGGCGGCAGGCCUAACACAUGCAAGUCGAGCGGAGCGGCGGACGGGUGAGUAAUGACUAGGAAUCUGCCUGGUCGUGGGGGAUAACGUCCGGAAACGGGCGCUAAUACCGCAUAAUAUCAGAUGAGCCUAGGUCGGAUUGGCUAGUUGGUUGGGUAAAGGCAUACCAAGGCGACGAGCCGUAACUGGUCUGAGAGGAGGAUCAGUCACACUGGAACUUAGACACGGUCCAGACUCCUACGGGAGUCAGCAGUGGUGAAUAUUGGACAAUGGGCGAAAGCCUGCUCCAGCCAUGCCGCGUGUGUGAAGAAGGUCCUCGGAUUGUAAAGCACUUUAAGUUGGGAGGCGUUACCAACAGAAUAAGCACCGGCUAACUUCGUGCCAGCAGCCGCGGUAAUAC
rnacentral:rRNA from 1 species